rnacentral:rRNA from 1 species
CAAUAGCGUAUAUUAAAGUUGUUGCAGUUAAAAAGCUCGUAGUUGGACUUCUGAUGUGGAGGGACGGUCCGCCUCACGGUGAGCACUGAUUCUUCACGUCUUCCUCUCGUAGUCUUUUGGCGCACUUAGUUGGGUGCCUUUAGAAUAUGGGACCUUUACUUUGAAAAAAUUAGAGUGUUCAAAGCAGGCAAUCGCUUGAAUACAUUAGCAUGGAAUAAUAGAAUAGGACUAUGGUCUCUUUGUUGGUUUGAGGGACUAUGGUAAUGAUUAAUAGGGAUAGUUGGGGGCAUUAGUAUUUAAUUGUCAGAGGUGGAAUUCUCAGAUUUGUUAAAGACGGACUACUGCGAAAGCAUUUGCCAAGGAUGUUUUCAUUGAUCAAGAACGAAAGUUAGGGGAUCGAAGACGAUUAGAU